rnacentral:rRNA from 1 species
AAAUUGAAGAGUUUGAUCAUGGCUCAGAUUGAACGCUGGCGGCAGGCCUAACACAUGCAAGUCGAGCGGUAGCACAGAGAGCUUGCUCUCGGGUGACGAGCGGCGGACGGGUGAGUAAUGUCUGGGAAACUGCCUGAUGGAGGGGGAUAACUACUGGAAACGGUAGCUAAUACCGCAUAAUGUCGCAAGACCAAAGAGGGGGACCUUCGGGCCUCUUGCCAUCAGAUGUGCCCAGAUGGGAUUAGCUAGUAGGUGGGGUAAUGGCUCACCUAGGCGACGAUCCCUAGCUGGUCUGAGAGGAUGACCAGCCACACUGGAACUGAGACACGGUCCAGACUCCUACGGGAGGCAGCAGUGGGGAAUAUUGCACAAUGGGCGCAAGCCUGAUGCAGCCAUGCCGCGUGUAUGAAGAAGGCCUUCGGGUUGUAAAGUACUUUCAGCGAGGAGGAAGGCAUUGUGGUUAAUAACCGCAGUGAUUGACGUUACUCGCAGAAGAAGCACCGGCUAACUCCGUGCCAGCAGCCGCGGUAAUACGGAGGGUGCAAGCGUUAAUCGGAAUUACUGGGCGUAAAGCGCACGCAGGCGGUCUGUCAAGUC